UAGGGAAUCUUCCACAAUGGACGCAAGUCUGAUGGAGCAACGCCGCGUGAGUGAAGAAGAUCUUCGGAUCGUAAAACUCUGUUGUUAGAGAAGAACACGAGUGAGAGUAACUGUUCAUUCGAUGACGGUAUCUAACCAGCAAGUCACGACUAACUACGUGCCGG
rnacentral:rRNA from 1 species